rnacentral:rRNA from 1 species
AUUGAACGCUGGCGGCAGGCCUAACACAUGCAAGUCGAGCGGAUGAUGGGAGCUUGCUCCUUGAUUCAGCGGCGGACGGGUGAGUAAUGCCUAGGAAUCUGCCUGGUAGUGGGGGACAACGUUUCGAAAGGAACGCUAAUACCGCAUACGUCCUACGGGAGAAAGCAGGGGACCUUCGGGCCUUGCGCUAUCAGAUGAGCCUAGGUCGGAUUAGCUUGUUGGUGAGGUAAUGGCUCACCAAGGCGACGAUCCGUAACUGGUCUGAGAGGAUGAUCAGUCACACUGGAACUGAGACACGGUCCAGACUCCUACGGGAGGCAGCAGUGGGGAAUAUUGGACAAUGGGCGAAAGCCUGAUCCAGCCAUGCCGCGUGUGUGAAGAAGGUCUUCGGAUUGUAAAGCACUUUAAGUUGGGAGGAAGGGUUGUAGAUUAAUACUCUGCAAUUUUGACGUUACCGACAGAAUAAGCACCGGCUAACUCUGUGCAGCCGCCGCCGUAA